UACAGAGGUCUCAAGCGUUGUUCGGAUUCAUUGGGCGUAAAGGGUGUGUAGGUGGCGCCGUAAGUCGGGUGUGAAAUUUCGGAGCUUAACUCCGAAACUGCAUUCGAUACUGCGGUGCUUGAGGACUGGAGAGGAGACUGGAAUUCAUGGUGUAGCAGUGAAAUGCGUAGAGAUCAUGAGGAAGACCAGUGGCGAAGGCAGCUCGCUGGGACGGUACUGACGCUGAGACGCGAAAGCGUGGGGAGCAAACAGG
rnacentral:rRNA from 1 species